AAAAAAUCAAGAGAACAAAAUCCAGACUCGUAGUGUCUGCCAAUUUCCACCGGGUAAAUUCUAUUACUAUAGCCAGUUUCAAGCUGCUGUCAUAUGAUGACAGUGAACUUGGAGAAGGGAAGAGAUGAACACCAUUGUGUCUGGUGCUGUGCCAAGCAUCUUCUUCCUGAAACCACCACUUAUGGGUUGUGCUGAGUAAGUUCUCCAAUAUCUCUAAGCUAAAGUUUCUCCUGGGAAGACUGGAUAAGAUGCAGUGCACCAGGGCUUAGCACAAGGCCAGAUACUCAUUCUAUGGAGCA
rnacentral:lncRNA from 13 species